rnacentral:lncRNA from 1 species
CUGAGCGUGAGACAACAAAUCCCCUGCAAACAAGUUCCUCACGCUCCCCGUUAGUGAGACCUAACGGAUCACAAUGGCUAGAGGUGAAAGGUGGCAGCAACUAAGUGUAGAAACAAGCAUGAGCUGGAAGAGCUGAAUUAACAAGAACAAGUUGGCAGGGCAGGUUAGCAAGUGCUGCAUUGUCUGCUUUUGAAAUGUGUCUUUAGGCAUGCUUUUGUUUGACAAGGAAUGCCAAGGCUGAGCUGACAAAGUCUGUUUG